GAUGAACGCUGGCGGCGUGCCUAAUACAUGCAAGUCGAGCGAACAGACGAGGAGCUUGCUCCUCUGACGUUAGCGGCGGACGGGUGAGUAACACGUGGAUAACCUACCUAUCAGACUGGGAUAACUUCGGGAAACCGGAGCUAAUACCGGAUAAUCUAUUGUACCGCAUGGUUCAAUAGUGAAAGACGGUUUUGCUGUAACUUAUAGAUGGAUCCGCGCCGCAUUAGCUAGUUGGUAAGGUAACGGCUUACCAAGGCAACGAUGCGUAGCCGACCUGAGAGAGUGAUCGGCCACACUGGAGCUGAGACACGGUCCAGACGCCUACGGGAGGCAGCAGUAGGGAAUCUUCCGCAAUGGGCGAAAGCCUGACGGAGCAACGCCGCGUGAGUGAUGAAGGUCUUCGGAUCGUAAAACUCUGUUAUUAGGUAAGAACAAAUGUGUAAGUAACUGUGCACGUCUUGACGGUACCUAGUCAGAAAGCCACGGCUAACUACGUG
rnacentral:rRNA from 1 species